rnacentral:rRNA from 1 species
AAUGCCCUACGGGGCGCAGCAGUGGGGAAGAUUGCGCAAUGGGCGAAAGCCUGACGCAGCGACGCCGCGUGAGGGAUGAAGGUCUUCGGAUCGUAAACCUCUGUCAGCAGGGAAGAACGGUCACUGUACUAAUCAGCAGUGAAUUGACGGUACCUGCAAAGGAAGCACCGGCUAACUCCGUGCCAGAAGCCGCGGGAAUACGGAGGGUGCGAGCGUUAAUCGGAAUUACUGGGCGUAAAGCGCUCGUAGGCGGUAUGUCAAGUCAAGGGUGAAAUCCCCGCGCUCAACGUGGGAACUGCCUUUGA